CGUAGGUGGCGAGCGUUGUCCGGAAUUACUGGGCGUAAAGGGUGCGUAGGUGGAUAUUUAAGUCAGAUGUGAAACUCCCGGGCUUAACCUGGGAACUGCAUUUGAAACUGGACAUCUAGAGUGCAGGAGAGGAAAGCGGAAUUCCUAGUGUAGCGGUGAAAUGCGUAGAUAUUAGGAAGAACACCAGUGGCGAAGGCGGCUUUCUGGACUGUAACUGACACUGAGGCACGAAAGCGUGGGGAGCAAACAGGAUUAGAUACCCUGGUAGUCCACGCUGUAAACUAUGAGUGCUAGGUGUAGGGGGUAUCGACACCCUCUGUGCCGCAGCAAACGCAAUAAGCACUCCGCCUGGGGAGUACGGUCGCAAGACUA
rnacentral:rRNA from 1 species